rnacentral:rRNA from 1 species
AGCGAACGUUAGCGGCAGGCCUAACACAUGCAAGUCGAGCGAGAAAGAGGACUUCGGUCCUCGAGUACAGCGGCGUACGGGUGAGUAACACGUGGGUAAUCUGCCCUUCGGUGGGGGACGAACAACCCGAAACGGGUUAGGCUAAUACCGCAUUCGCCGGCAUGACCUGUGGAUUAUGCCGGGAAAGUGGCCUCUACUUGUAAGCACACGCCGAAGGAGGAGCCCGCGUCCCAUCAGCUAGNGGUUAGGGUAAUGGCCUACCAAGGCAAAGACGGGUAGCUGGUCUGAGAGGAUGAUCAGCCACACUGGGACUGAGACACGGCCCAGACUCCUACGGGAGGCAGCAGUGGGGAAUAUUGGACAAUGGGCGCAAGCCUGAUCCAGCAACGCCGCGUGGAGGACGAA